rnacentral:rRNA from 1 species
GUGUCAGCCGCCGCGGUAAUACGGAGGGUGCGAGCGUUAAUCGGAAUUACUGGGCGUAAAGGGCGCGUAGGCGGUCGCGCGAGUCGGGUGUGAAAGCCCCGGGCUCAACCUGGGAAUUGCAUUCGAUACUGCGUAACUAGAGUCUGGUAGAGGGAAGCGGAAUUCCGCAUGUAGCGGUGAAAUGCGUAGAUAUGCGGAGGAACACCAGUGGCGAAGGCGGCUUCCUGGACCAAGACUGACGCUGAGGCGCGAAAGCGUGGGGAGCAAACAGGAUUAGAUACCCUGGUAGUCCACGCCCUAAACGAUGAGGACUAGACGUUGGGGGGAUAAAACCCUUUAGUGUCGCAGCUAACGCGUGAAGUCCUCCGCCUGGGGAGUACGGCCGCAAGGUUGAAACUCAAAGAAAUUGACGG